rnacentral:misc_RNA from 1 species
GGGGGGGGGGGGGCGGGGGGCGGGGCCGGCCUGUGGUGUUGUGUGGUGGUUGGGGUUGGGGGGAUGGUGGGAGGUGUGGUUUGAUAUUUAGCAUGAGUUCAAGAAUGGAGGAUGCAAUUUACCCAACUACUUCAGGUGGAAGUGUUCUCCAUCUUCUAGCAAUGACAACAUGAUUAUACUAGAUACAGAGAAACAAUGUUGGUUGGUAACAUCCUAGAAACACAUUAGUUACCUUUAUGUUUACAGAAGAAACUAAGCAAGGUUUACAUAAAUGACAAGUAAAAUUCAGAGCAUUAAGAAGUUAAUUCCACGACCAAUUAGGCACUUCAUAUGCAACUUUUUCACUCUUUUUUCACAUAACUCAGAAUAUAGAAAAGGUAAAUUCUCUCCUGGUUCCCUCCGUUCCCUCCCAGGCCACCCUGCUUCUCUCCCAGGGUACCUGUAUUAUGCAUCAACAAAAAAAAAAGAACGAAAGAAAACAUCCAAAGUGGGGCAACACACCAGGAAAAAAGCAUCAAGAGUACCUUGGAUGAUUUUCCUAAUUCAGUGGCUAUUUUAUGUUGGCUCUUUUCUUGAUGACACAUUGAUCCUACCAAAUCAUAAAGUCUGGGGUCAGAUCCUUCUGAUUCGCUGCAGCGAGAAGAAACCAGAUUCCAAAGUGAAAGCAAAGUCACAUUUGACAGUCUGGCCUGCUUCAAGCUAAUGAGAUAGUCAGGUAU